AGGAAUAUUGCUCAAUGGGAGAAAUCCUGAAGCAGCAACGCCGCGUGGAGGAUGAAGGGUCUAUGACUUGUAAACUCCUGUAAAGAAGGAAAAAAUUCCCAUUUGAUGGGAGAUGAUGGUACUUCUGGAGUAAGCCCCGGCUAACUACGUGCCAGCAGCCGCGGUAAUACGUAGGGGGCAGGCGUUGUCCGGAUUUACUGGGUGUAAAGGGUGCUCAGGCGGAUUUGUAAGUCAGAGGUGAAAUCUUACAGCUUAACUGUGAAACUGCCUUUGAUACUGCAAGCCUAGAGUAUGGAAGAGAGUGAUGGAAUAUCUGGUGUAGCAGUGAAAUGCGUAGAUAUCAGAUAGAACACCAAUGGCGAAGGCAGUCACUUGGUCCAUUACUGACGCUAAAGCACGAAAGCGUGGGUAGCAAACA
rnacentral:rRNA from 1 species